CAGUAGCCACGGUAAUACGUAGGUGGCAAGCGUUGUCCGGAAUUAUUGGGCGUAAAGGGCUCGCAGGCGGUUUCUUAAGUCUGAUGUGAAAGCCCCCGGCUCAACCGGGGAGGGUCAUUGGAAACUGGGAAACUUGAGUGCAGAAGAGGAGAGUGGAAUUCCACGUGUAGUGGUGAAAUGCGUAGAGAUGUGGAGGAACACCAGUGGCGAAGGCGACUCUCUGGUCUGUAACUGACGCUGAGGAGCGAAAGCGUGGGGAGCGAACAGGAUUAGAUACCCCUGUAGUCCCUGUCUCUUAUAA
rnacentral:rRNA from 1 species